UACGUAGGGGGCAAGCGCUGUCCGGAUUUAUUGGGCGUAAAGAGCGUGUAGGCGGCCGUACAGGUCAGCUGUGAAAACUCGAGGCUCAACCUCGAGACGUCGGUUGAAACCGUACGGCUAGAGUCCGGAAGAGGAGAGUGGAAUUCCCGGUGUAGCGGUGAAAUGCGCAGAUAUCGGGAAGAACACCCGUGGCGAAGGCGGCUCUCUGGGACGGUACUGACGCUGAGACGCGAAAGCGUGGGGAGCGAACAGG
rnacentral:rRNA from 1 species